rnacentral:rRNA from 1 species
AUUGAACGCUGGCGGCAGGCCUAACACAUGCAAGUCGAACGAGUGGCGGACGGGUGAGUAAUGUCUGGGAAACUGCCCGAUGGGGGGGGAUAACUACUGGAAACGGUAGAUAAUACAGGCUACCAUCGGAGGGGCCCAGAUGGCAUUAGCUCGUAGGUUGGGUAAUGGCUCACCUUGGCGACGAUCCCUAGCUGGUCGGAGAGGAUGACCAGCCACACUGGAACUGUGACACGGUCCAUACUCCGACGGGAGUCAGCAGUGGGGAAUAUUGCACAAUGGGCGCAAGGCUGAUGCAGCCAUGCCGCGUGUAUGAAGAGGGCCUUCGGGUGGUAAAGUACUUUAAGCGAGGAGGCGUUACUCGCAGAAGAAGCACCGGCUAACUCCGUGCCAGCAGCCGCGGUAAUUC